UAGGGUGCCCAGCUCUCUUGGUUUGCCUGAGACUGAGAGGUUUUCUGGGAUGUGAGAUUUUGAGUAUUGACAUAAGGACAGUUCCAGGCAAACCAAGACAGUUGGUCAUCCUGUUCAGCU
rnacentral:pre_miRNA from 1 species